GCGCUCCCUGGCCGUGGUGCAGGAAUACUUUGAGGAGUUUGCCCUGCGGGGUCAGGACAUCCUGGGCAGCCCCGAGAAAUGGGACAAGGUGCUGGCGCUGCUCCCCGAGGAUAUCCUUCCUCCUGCGUGGCGUGCAAGGGGUUAAAACGAACCCGGGGGGGUAAAGCUGAAAUNCCCUGUGGGGGGUGGAUUUAGGGGUCCAGGCACCCCGUGCCCCCUCCCCAAACUGGGCACCGCUGUCCCCCAGGGCGGUGCGGACACGGUGAAGAAGGUGACGCUGUCCCACCCCGUGCACCCGUUCAUCAGGUGGGUGAGGACCCUCCUGCCCCUCCCCUGGGGCCCGGGGGGGGCACUGACCCCCUUGUUCAUCAGGUGGGUGAGGACCCUCCUGCCCCUCCCCUGGGGCCCGGGGGGGACACUGACCCCCUUGGGUGGGCACUGAGCCCCCUGUGCUGCCCCUUUGGGUGGAUUCUGAGCCCCCUUGGGUGGGUUCCAAGCCCCCCUGGGUGGGCUCUGAGCCCCCAUUGCUGCCCCCAUGGGUGGGCACUGACCCCCCUGGUGCCCCCUUGGGUGGGUUCUGAGUCCCCUGGUGCCCCCCUGGGUGGGUUCUGAGCCCCCUGUUGCCCCCCUGGGUGGUCUCUGACCCCCCUGGUGCCCCCCUGGGUGGGUUCUGAGCCCCCCUCAGUGGGCUCUGACCCCCCUGGUGCCCCCCUGGGUGGGUUCUGAGCCCCCCCCCCCCCCCCCCCCCCCCCCCCCCCCCCCCCCCCCCCCCCCCCCCCCCCCCCCCCCCCCCCCCCCCCCCCCCCCCCCCCCCCCCC
rnacentral:lncRNA from 12 species